rnacentral:misc_RNA from 1 species
GUAGGUGAACCUGCGGAAGGAUCAUUACCGAGUAUUGGGUCUCAGUGCCCGCACUCCAACCCUUUGUGUACCUAAAACUGUUGCUUUGGCGGGCCCGCGGUGUAAUGCCGCUGCUGGCCCACGCUGGUUAGCGCCCGCCAGAGAACCGUUAAACUCUUGUUUAUUCAGUGUCGUCUGAGCAAAAUUUAAUAAUCAAAACUUUCAACAACGGAUCUCUUGGUUCUG